AGAGUUUGAUCCUGGCUCAGAUUGAACGCUGGCGGUAUGCUUUACACAUGCAAGUCGAACGGCAGCACGGGGCAACCUGGUGGCGAGUGGCGAACGGGUGAGUAACAUAUCGGAACAUGUCCGGAAGUGGGGGAUAACGUAGCGAAAGUUACGCUAAUACCGCAUAUGCCCCGAGGGGGAAAGGGGGGGAUCGCAAGACCUCCCGCUUUCGGAGUGGCCGAUAUCGGAUUAGCUAGUAGGCGAGGUAAAGGCUCACCUAGGCGACGAUCCGUAGCUGGUCCGAGAGGACGACCAGCCACACUGGAACUGAGACACGGUCCAGACUCCUACGGGAGGCAGCAGUGGGGAAUUUUGGACAAUGGGGGCAACCCUGAUCCAGCCAUACCGCGUGAGUGAAGAAGGCCUUCGGGUUGUAAAGCUCUUUCGGCAGGAAAGAAAUCGUGCAGGCUAAUAUCCUGUAUGGAUGACGGUACCUGAAGAAGAAGCACCGGCUAACUACGUGCCAGCAGCCGCGGUAAUACGUAGGGUGCGAGCGUUAAUCGGAAUUACUGGGCGUAAAGCGUGCGCAGGCGGUUCCGUAAGACAGAUGUGAAAUCCCCGGGCUUAACCUGGGAACUGCAUUUGUGACUGCGAGACUAGAGUGUAGCAGAGGGGGGUAGAAUUCCACGUGUAGCAGUGAAAUGCGUAGAUAUGUGGAGGAAUACCGAUGGCGAAAGCAGCCCCCUGGGCUAACACUGACGCUCAUGCACGAAAGCGUGGGGAGCAAACAGGAUUAGAUACCCUGGUAGUCCACGCCCUAA
rnacentral:rRNA from 1 species